rnacentral:rRNA from 1 species
UCGGGAAUCUUGGACAAUGGGCGCAAGCCUGAUCCAGCCAUGCCGCGUGGAUGAUGAAGGCCUUAGGGUUGUAAAAUCCUUUCGCCGAGGACGAUAAUGACGGUACUCGGAGAAGAAGCUCCGGCUAACUUCGUGCCAGCAGCCGCGGUAAUACGAAGGGAGCUAGCGUUGUUCGGAAUCACUGGGCGUAAAGCGCACGUAGGCGGAUAGUUAAGUCAGGGGUGAAAUCCUGGGGCUCAACCCCAGAACUGCCUUUGAUACUGGCUGUCUCGAGGUCGAGAGAGGUUGGUGGAAUUCCUAGUGUAGAGGUGAAAUUCGUAGAUAUUAGGAAGAACACCAGUGGCGAAGGCGGCCAACUGGCUCGAUACUGACGCUGAGGUGCGAAAGCGUGGGGAGCAAACAGGAUUAGAUACCCAAGUAGUCCCUGAGCGGGCUGGCAAGGCGCAU